CAGCUAGUUGGUGAGGUAAUGGCUCACCAAGGCGACGAUCCGUAACUGGUCUGAGAGGAUGAUCAGUCACACUGGAACUGAGACACGGUCCAGACUCCUACGGGAGGCAGCAGUGGGGAAUAUUGGACAAUGGGCGAAAGCCUGAUCCAGCCAUGCCGCGUGUGUGAAGAAGGUCUUCGGAUUGUAAAGCACUUUAAGUUGGGAGGAAGGGCAGUUACCUAAUACGUAUCUGUUUUGACGUUACCGACAGAAUAAGCACCGGCUAACUCUGUGCCAGCAGCCGCGGUAAUACAGAGGGUGCAAGCGUUAAUCGGAAUUACUGGGCGUAAAGCGCGCGUAGGUGGUUUGUUAAGUUGGAUGUGAAAUCCCCGGGCUCAACCUGGGAACUGCAUUCG
rnacentral:rRNA from 1 species